GACGAACGCUGGCGGCGUGCCUAACACAUGCAAGUCGAACGGGUGAGAGGAGCUUGCUCCUUGAUCUAGUGGCGAACGGGUGAGUAACGCGUGAGAAACCUGCCUUUCAGUGGGGGACAACAGUUGGAAACGACUGCUAAUACCGCAUAACGUGCCGAGGGGGCAUCCCCUUGGUACCAAAGCUUUAUGUGCUGAAAGAUGGUCUCGCGUCUGAUUAGCUAGUUGGUGAGGUAACGGCUCACCAAGGCGACGAUCAGUAGCCGGUCUGAGAGGAUGAACGGCCACAUUGGGACUGAGAUACGGCCCAGACUCCUACGGGAGGCAGCAGUGGGGAAUAUUGGGCAAUGGGGGAAACCCUGACCCAGCAACGCCGCGUGAAGGAAGAAGGUCUUCGGGUUGUAAACUUCUUUUACCAGGGACGAAGAACGUGACGGUACCUGGAGAAAAAGCAACGGCUAACUACGUGCCAGCAGCCGCAGUAACAC
rnacentral:rRNA from 1 species